rnacentral:rRNA from 1 species
AAAGAGUUAAAUAAUUAAUAAAGUUAUUGUUGUAAAAAUAUUUUAAAUAAUUAUUUUGAAAUGAAAUGUUAUUCGUUUUUAAAUAUAUCUAGUUUUUUUAGAAAAAAAUUUAAUUUUAAAUUUUAAAAUUAAAAUAAUUUAUUAAUAAAUUAUUUUAAUUUUAAAGUUUUAUAUUUUAGGGGAUAAGCUUUAAAUUAAAUUUUUAUAUUAAUGUAUUAAAUUUAAUUGAAAUUUAUAUAAUUUAUAUUAUUAAUAAAUUUUAAUUUGUUAUAAAUAAUUUCAUUUACAUUAAAAAAUUUAAUAAUAAAUUAAUUUUUUAUAAAAAAAUUAAUUAUAAUAAAUUUAAUUAAGUUAUAAUGAUAAAAUUAGUAUAUUUUAUAGUUAUAAUUUAAUUUAUAAAAUUAAUUAUUAUUAUUCAUAAUAAAUUAAUUAAUUAAAAGGAAUUUGGCAAAUAUUUACAUUCACUUGUUUAACAAAAACAUGUCUUUUUGUUUUAAUUUAAAGUCUAAUCUGCCCACUGAUAAUUAUUGAAGGGCUGCAGUAUUUUGACUGUACAAAGGUAGCAUAAUCAUUAGUCUCUUAAUUGGUGACUUGUAUGAAGGAUUGGAUGAAAUGUAUACUGUCUCUUAAUUAAUAUAUAGAAUUUAAUUUUUUAUUUAAAAAGUUAAAAUUUUUUAAAAAGACGAGAAGACCCUAUAGAGUUUUAUAAUUGAAUUUAUUAUUAUUUAUUUAUAAAUUUUAUUAAUUUUGAUAAGUUAAAUUAUUUUGUUGGGGUGAUAGAAAAAUAAAUUUAACUUUUUUUUAUUUAAACAUAAAUAAGUGAAUUUUUGAUCCAGUAAUAUUGAUUAUAAGAUUAAAUUACCUUAGGGAUAACAGCGUAAUUUUUUUUUUUAGUUCAAAUAAGAAAAAGAGUUUGCGACCUCGAUGUUGGAUUAAGAUAAAAUUUAAAUGCAAAAGUUUAAAAUUUUG